rnacentral:rRNA from 1 species
GAUGAACGCUGGCGGCGUGCCUAAUACAUGCAAGUCGAGCGAACGGACGAGAAGCUUGCUUUUCUGAUGUUAGCGGCGGACGGGUGAGUAACACGUGGAUAACCUACCUAUAAGACUGGGAUAACUUCGGGAAACCGGAGCUAAUACCGGAUAAUAUUUUGAACCGCAUGGUUCAAAAGUGAAAGACGGUCUUGCUGUCACUUAUAGAUGGAUCCGCGCUGCAUUAGCUAGUUGGUAAGGUAACGGCUUACCAAGGCAACGAUGCAUAGCCGACCUGAGAGGGUGAUCGGCCACACUGGAACUGAGACACGGUCCAGACUCCUACGGGAGGCAGCAGUAGGGAAUCUUCCGCAAUGGGCGAAAGCCUGACGGAGCAACGCCGCGUGAGUGAUGAAGGUCUUCGGAUCGUAAAACUCUGUUAUUAGGGAAGAACAUAUGUGUAAGUAACUGUGCACAUCUUGACGGUACCUAAUCAGAAAGCCACGGCUAACUACGUGCCAGCAGCCGCGGUAAUACGUAGGUGGCAAGCGUUAUCCGGAAUUAUUGGGCGUAAAGCGCGCGUAGGCGGUUUUUUAAGUCUGAUGUGAAAGCCCACGGCUCAACCGUGGAGGGUCAUUGGAAACUGGAAAACUUGAGUGCAGAAGAGGAAAGUGGAAUUCCAUGUGUAGCGGUGAAAUGCGCAGAGAUAUGGAGGAACACCAGUGGCGAAGGCGACUUUCUGGUCUGUAACUGACGCUGAUGUGCGAAAGCGUGGGGAUCAAACAGGAUUAGAUACCCUGGUAGUCCACGCCGUAAACGAUGAGUGCUAAGUGUUAGGGGGUUUCCGCCCCUUAGUGCUGCAGCUAACGCAUUAAGCACUCCGCCUGGGGAGUACGACCGCAAGGUUGAAACUCAAAGGAAUUGACGGGGACCCGCACAAGCGGUGGAGCAUGUGGUUUAAUUCGAAGCAACGCGAAGAACCUUACCAAAUCUUGACAUCCUUUGACAACUCUAGAGAUAGAGCCUUCCCCUUCGGGGGACAAAGUGACAGGUGGUGCAUGGUUGUCGUCAGCUCGUGUCGUGAGAUGUUGGGUUAAGUCCCGCAACGAGCGCAACCCUUAAGCUUAGUUGCCAUCAUUAAGUUGGGCACUCUAAGUUGACUGCCGGUGACAAACCGGAGGAAGGUGGGGAUGACGUCAGAUCAUCAUGCCCCUUAUGAUUUGGGCUACACACGUGCUACAAUGGACAAUACAAAGGGCAGCGAAACCGCGAGGUCAAGCAAAUCCCAUAAAGUUGUUCUCAGUUCGGAUUGUAGUCUGCAACUCGACUACAUGAAGCUGGAAUCGCUAGUAAUCGUAGAUCAGCAUGCUACGGUGAAUACGUUCCCGGGUCU